rnacentral:rRNA from 1 species
GAUGAACGCUGGCGGCGUGCCUAAUACAUGCAAGUCGAGCGAACGGACGAGAAGCUUGCUUCUCUGAUGUUAGCGGCGGACGGGUGAGUAACACGUGGAUAACCUACCUAUAAGACUGGGAUAACUUCGGGAAACCGGAGCUAAUACCGGAUGAUAUUUUGAACCGCAUGGUUCAAAAGUGAAAGACGGUCUUGCUGUCACUUAUAGAUGGAUCCGCGCUGCAUUAGCUAGUUGGUAAGGUAACGGCUUACCAAGCCAACGAUGCAUAGCCGACCUGAGAGGGUGAUCGGCCACACUGGAACUGAGACACGGUCCAGACUCCUACGGGAGGCACCAGUAGGGAAUCUUCCGCAAUGGGCGAAAGCCUGACGGAGCAACGCCGCGUGAGUGAUGAAGGUCUUCGGAUCGUAAAACUCUGUUAUUAGGGAAGAACAUAUGUGUAAGUAACUGUGCACAUCUUGACGGUACCUAAUCAGAAAGCCACGGCCAACUACGUG